rnacentral:rRNA from 1 species
AACGAACGUUAGCGGCGCGCCUAACACAUGCAAGUCGAACGCGACUGGGGGCAACUCCAGUUGAGUGGCGCACGGGUGAGUAACACGUAGGUAAUCUCCCCCCGAGUGGUGGAUAACCUUCCGAAAGGAGGGCUAAUACAGCAUGAGACCACGGCUUCGAAAGGAGUUGAGGUCAAAGCGGAGGAUCGCAAGACUUCGCGCUUGGGGAUGAGCCUGCGGCCCAUCAGGUAGUUGGCGGGGUAAAGGCCCACCAAGCCUUAGACGGGUAGCUGGUCUGAGAGGAUGAUCAGCCACACUGGAACUGAGACACGGUCCAGACUCCUACGGGAGGCUG